rnacentral:lncRNA from 1 species
UUUCAUCAUAAUAUUUGUUAACCAAUAUUAUACAUGUAUGUAUAAUGUAUGUGUAAAAUAUUCAUGUAAACAUAGUUUAAGCGUUGCAUUUGAUAAUCAUGAGUAAUUUUAAUGUUUUGUCAUUUAGUCUGCAUCUCUCUGGUCUGUACACUUUGACAGCCAUUCUCAAAAGUAUUUCUAUAGGAGCUAAUGUGGCAUAUAUCGCUUGAUUAGAACAUGGAGGUAUUAUACUUCCAUAAUCAGUAGAUGUGUUGAUAGAAGAGUAAAAUUAGUUCCUAUUAACUUGCCAAUACAUUAAGGGGUAUUUUGACAUCUCAGAAAUGAAGUUAUUUAAAUAAAACAUAGCAUGAAUAAAGAAAUUAUAAAUAAAUAAAAAGAAAAA